UAUUAACUCUGGCGGCGUGCCUAAUACGUGCAAGUCGAACGAACAAAUGAGGAGCUUGCUCCUCUGACGUUAGCUGCGGACGGGUGAGUAACACGUAGGUAACCUACCUAUAAGACUGGGAUAACUUCGGGAAACCGUAGCUAAUACCGGAUAAUAUAUUAAAACGCAUGGUUCAAUAUUGAAAGACGGUUUUGCUGUCACUUAUAAUUGGAUCCGGUCCGCAUUACCUAUUUGGUAAGUUAACGGCUUCCCAGGCCACCGAUCAUUAGCCACCCGGGAGGGGUGACGGCCACAAUUGGAAUUGAGAACCGGCCCAGCUUCCUCGGGGAGGAAGAAGUAGGGAAUCUUGCGAAAUGGGCGAAAGCUUGACGGAGAAAGGCGGCGUGAGUGAUGAAGGUCUUCGGAUCGUAAAACUCUGUUAUAAGGGAAGAAGAAAUGUGUAAGUAACUAUGCACGUCUUGACGGUACCUAAUCAGAAAGCCACGGCUAACUACGUG
rnacentral:rRNA from 1 species